rnacentral:rRNA from 1 species
GAUGAACGCUGGCGGCGUGCCUAAUACAUGCAAGUCGAGCGAACGGACGAGGAGCUUGCUCCUUUGACGUUAGCGGCGGACGGGUGAGUAACACGUGGAUAACCUACCUAUAAGACUGGGAUAACUUCGGGAAACCGGAGCUAAUACCGGAUAAUAUAUUGAACCGCAUGGUUCAAUAGUGAAAGACGGUUUUGCUGUCACUUAUAGAUGGAUCCGCGCCGCAUUAGCUAGUUGGUAAGGUAACGGCUUACCAAGGCAACGAUGCGUAGCCGACCUGAGAGGGUGAUCGGCCACACUGGAACUGAGACACGGUCCAGACUCCUACGGGAGGCAGCAGUAGGGAAUCUUCCGCAAUGGGCGAAAGCCUGAUGGAGCAACGCCGCGUGAGUGAUGAAGGUCUUCGGAUCGUAAAACUCUGUUAUUAGGGAAGAACAAAUGUGUAAGUAACUAUGCACGUCUUGACGGUACCUAAUCAGAAAGCCACGGCUAACUACGUG